CCUACGGGAGGCAGCAGUGAGGAAUAUUGGUCAAUGGGCGGAAGCCUGAACCAGCCAAGUAGCGUGCAGGAUGACGGCCCUAUGGGUUGUAAACUGCUUUUAUACGGGAAUAACGAGCCUUACGUUUAGGGCUUUGCAUGUUCCGUAUGAAUAGGGACCGGCUAAUUCCGUGCCAGCGGCCUAGGUAAGACGGAAGGUCCGGGCGUUAUCAGGAUUUAUUGGGUUGAAAGGGAGCGUAGGCCGCAUGUCAAGCGUGCUGUGAAAUGUCCGGGCUCAACCCGGGCCUUGCAGCGCGAACUGGCGUGCUUGAGUCCGCGGAAAGCAGGCGGAAUUCGUCGUGUAGCGGUGAAAUGCUUAGAUAUGACGAAGAACCCCGAGUGCGAAGGCAGCUUGCUGCAGCGGAACUGACGCUGAUGCUCGAAAGCGCGGGUAUCGAACAGGAUUAGAUACCCGUGUAGUC
rnacentral:rRNA from 1 species